rnacentral:rRNA from 1 species
UACGAAGGGGGCUAGCGUUGUUCGGAAUUACUGGGCGUAAAGCGCACGUAGGCGGAUCAGAAAGUUGGGGGUGAAAUCCCAGGGCUCAACCCUGGAACGGCCUCCAAAACUCCUGGUCUUGAGUUCGAGAGAGGUGAGUGGAAUUCCGAGUGUAGAGGUGAAAUUCGUAGAUAUUCGGAGGAACACCAGUGGCGAAGGCGGCUCACUGGCUCGAUACUGACGCUGAGGUGCGAAAGUGUGGGGAGCAAACAGG